rnacentral:tRNA from 2 species
AUUAAAUUAUUUAAAUAAGUAUAAAUUUUAUUUUAUAAAUUUUAAUUUUUUAUUAUUAAUGUUUAUUAAUUUAAUUUUUAUUAUUUAAUU